UAUUCCACUUACUCUUGCCUCAUAUGUGGUACCUCCAUUAUCCCAUAUAUCAGCACUCUAUCUAUAUAUAGGUUAAACUCUUGGAUUUUCUCAGACUUGAUUAAAGCUCAUCAUACUGUUAAAGUUCAUCCUCGAUCUCAAAAAGGAGGAGACAAAAUGAAGGCUGAAGGUGUUGCAGUAAUCCUUAUGAUCGCAACCAUAUGCUUGAUUAUUGGUGGUGAUAACAAUUCGAAAUCUUUAGCAGUGGAUAUACAAGAAGAUUAUGAGCAUCGAAACCCCCAAGAGGAGACUCAAAAAUCUCCAUUUUAUUCUAGCACCGAUAUUAGUUCUCACCACGAGAUUCCAUUAUAUAAAUAUAUCCCUCCAAGAAACAAAAAAUAACUCAAAAGAAGAAAACCAAAGUUUUAUCUAUGUAUGAAAAAUGAAAUAAAUGGCCUCUAAAUAUAAAGUUUGAAAUAUAUAAUGUACCUGUGAUCUUCAGCCUAGUGGCUAGGUACGUAGAUGUAUUUUUCCUAAAGGGUUGUAAGAAACUAAGGAUCAAUAAGUUGUAUAUAUGAAGUAAAUCACAUACUUUGUUUUUAUUUA